UUCUGUGCACGGCUUAAAUGCCAAGCUUUCUAACGGGCUAACAACAGCAACAACGAAAUUCUCAAUCGUACCACGAAGAAGGCGAUGUAGCUCAGAAAACAACGUCAGUAGGACCUGAUAAAUAAGACUUUUGCCAAAGCCAGUUGGCGUAGAACAGCAAAGACAUUUUAGUUGUCAACAACAAGCUUUCUAAUACAUGACUAGUUUUGCUGUUCUUUCAGCGUCGUGUGUCCAAACUUCGUCAAAGAUUUUGAUAAAGCCCUUUCAAAAUACUGUUUGUUUGAUUUAUUUUCUGCCAUAAAGCACAAAAGAAAAGAAAUAUUGUUUAUGUGAACUUGCAACCAAUCAAAAUCUUUCAUGAUGCUGAUCAACCAAUCAGAUUUCCCGUCCGCCAGAUGGACGGGAAUCCCACGGUUUAGAUAGGUUUUGUGUCAGGCCCUAUUCUAAAUUAGGGCCUGAAUUUCAGGUUACUAUGCCUGCGUCUGCUGCAUGCAUGGCUAACACUAUAAAAGUAUCGGCUAUAGCCGGUACUUUUGUAGUGCUAGGCAUGCAGCAUAGUUUGGCAAGAAAAUGACCAGUUUGAUGUAUGGUGUAUCAUUGUCUCCUUUGGGAACUAAAAAGUAAAGGCGGCAAUCCUAUUGUCAUAUAGGAUACUAGUAAAAUAUUAAAAUUAGGUGUAUACCCAUUAUGCUGUUCGCAGCUAUAAAUUCUGGAAUGCAACAGGCUCUUCUGGUCUUUCACACGAGGUCGCGGGAUUGUCACUACCUCGAAUUCUUCAUCAAGUCAACCAAGAAUCAAUUGUAGAAGGUUUUUUUAUAUGGAAAUUUCGAAUGUAAAUUUCAUACAUUUAUUAAUCCUAACCACGAGCAGCUGCGAAAACUGCAACCAUGCAUCGGCUCUGUGGCCCCUAUCUAACCUGCGGUCCUGCGAUUUCGGUGCAGCGGCGGUGCUCUAACCAACUGAGCUACAGAGGCCAGUUGUCGAGCUCUAACCACAAGUUCAUGAUUGUAUAUAUAGGAGACCAAGGUGAUGCCAAUGUGAGAUGUAUGGGUAAAUAUUAGGAUUUGGGGCAUCUCACUCGAUAUAACUAAUUGUUGAAGGUUUUUGUAGAUGGAAAUUUUGGUGUAAAUUUCAUACCUGGAAACAUGCAACUGUAGGCCCUCUUGCAGGAGUCGAACCUGUGACCCUGCCCAUGCAUGCAUCUUACACUGGUAUCACGUUAGUAUGUAUACAUGAUAAACUUGCCGUUAGAACUCGACAACUGCAGUAUGAAUGCAGUUGGUUAGAGCGCUGCACUGAAAUCCUGUCAGUGGGCCUAAUAGUUGCAUUUUUCGCGACUGCUCCUCGUUAGGUCUAAUAAAUCUAUAAAAUUUCCGCUCGAAGUUUCCAUCUACAAGACCUUUCUAUACAAUUCGUUCUAUCGAGUGAGAUGCCCAAAAUGCUGAUAUUUAUCCAAGACGAAUCGACAGUUUCCGGUUCCUAGAAAUCAUGGAUAGGCUUACUGACAGGGUUGUGUGAAGUGUGCCAAACUGAAAUAUACUGAGGAAGUGGUGAUAGAGAGUAGAGCCGAAACUGCCCAUCUUUUAUUGGAAUAAAAGAACUUUCUGUUCCAAACACGAAUUAACCAGAGUAAUGAUCAAGCUACAUAUACGGUAUACAAGUAGCUAGCCUUUUUGUUCCUGUAAUUAACCAUGAAUUGCAAUCCCAAUGUUAAUUAUUUUAUGAUAUUUUAAAAAUCCUAACGAAACAUGACAGAUUGACAGACUGCUAAUUUCAAACAGCUAAAUUUGCGAGCUGUGUUUCUGUGACCUGCGAACAGUCUAAAUCAGUUUCGAUAUAUUGAGCGUUUGUCGCUGGGGUUGUUAUUAUACAGGCCUAUUCCGCUGUAUCUAUUUAAUUUACGGUUAUUUUCUUGUGAAAUAUCAGUGCUAGGCAUUUCACACUUACCAAUGACCACCCCUGAGCACCAUCUCUGAACCAUAUGAGCAC